rnacentral:rRNA from 1 species
GUGGAUUAGAUACCCCAGUAGUCCACGCCGUAAACGAUGAUGACUAGCUGUCUGGGCGCUUAGCGUUCAGGUGGCGCAGCUAACGCGUUAAGUCAUCCGCCUGGGGAGUACGGCCGCAAGGUUAAAACUCAAAGAAAUUGACGGGGGCCUGCACAAGCGGUGGAGCAUGUGGUUUAAUUCGAAGCAACGCGCAGAACCUUACCAGCGUUUGACAUGCCAGGACGGUUUCCAGAGAUGGAUUCCUUCCCUUACGGGACCUGGACACAGGUGCUGCACGGCCGUCGUCAACU